rnacentral:rRNA from 1 species
ACUCCUACGGGAGGCAGCAGUGAGGAAUUUUGCGCAAUGGGCGAAAGCCUGACGCAGCGACGCCGCGUGGAGGAUGAAGUCUUUCGAGAUGUAAACUUCUGUCAGUAGGGAUGAUAAUGACAGUACCUACAGAGGAAGCACCGGCUAACUCCGUGCCAGCAGCCGCGGUAAUACGGAGGGUGCAAGCGUUGUUCGGAAUUACUGGGCGUAAAGCGUACGUAGGCGGCGAGUUAAGUCGAAUGUUAAACGCCCGGGGCUCAACCCCGGUGGAUGCCUUCGAUACUGGCUUGCUAGAGGGUGAUAGAGGGAAAGUGGAAUUCCGAGUGUAGCGGUGAAAUGCGUAGAUAUUCGGAGGAACAUCAGUAGCGAAGGCGUACUUUCUGGGUCACACCUGACGCUGAGGUACGAAAGCGUGGGUAGCAAACAGGAUUAGAUACCCGUGGUAGCGACUGA